CCCUUAGAUGUUCUGGGCAGCACGCGCGCUACAAUGGUCUUCGCAAACGGAUGCAUUCUCGAAGGAGAAUGCCACUCUUGGAAUCUAUGCCUUGGUCGGGACAGUUGCUUGCAAUUUUUCGACUCGAACCAGGAAUUCCUUGUAAUCGUGAUUCAUCACAUCACGAUGAAUACGUCCCUGCCCUUUGUACACACCGCCCGUCGCUCCUACCGAUCGAAGAGUUAGGUGAAUUGUUUUGAUCGAUAAGAUUUGACUAUGGUCAACUCUCGUUGGGAAAUUCUGUGAAUCUGACUGUUUAGAGGAAGGAAAAGUCGUAACA
rnacentral:rRNA from 1 species